rnacentral:rRNA from 1 species
AUUGAACGCUGGCGGCAUGCCUUACACAUGCAAGUCGAACGGCAGCACGGGGCAACCUGGUGGCGAGUGGCGAACGGGUGAGUAAUGCAUCGGAACGUGCCAUUGAGUGGGGGAUAACGUAGCGAAAGUUGCGCUAAUACCGCAUAUUCUGUGAGCAGGAAAGCAGGGGACCGCAAGGCUUUGCGCUCUUUGAGCGGCCGAUGUCAGAUUAGCUAGUUGGUGAGGUAACGGCUUACCAAGGCGACGAUCUGUAGCGGGUCUGAGAGGAUGAUCCGCCACACUGGAACUGAGACACGGUCCAGACUCCUACGGAGGCAGCAGUGGGGAAUUUUGGACAAUGGGCGCAAGCCUGAUCCAGCCAUGCCGCGUGAGUGAAGAAGGCCUC